GGAUGUGAUCUCCCCUUCUGGUUGGGUAGUUUUUCCGGUCCUAGGGAUCCGCCGGCGAGGGUCAUUGAAGGGUGUCGAAAGAUAUUUUGGAUCUUAGUUUUUUCGUCGAAUUCUCGCACGGAGCACCCCGGGCUUUGCUGAGAAACUUUGUGACGACGGAAGCCCCAAUGCUCGUGCCAUAUGGAUUCGCCGUUCUGUGUUGCAGAUCUGUUCACGAAUUCUAACGACUGAUCUGUGUCAAAGUAACGGCUAAAUUUUAGAUCUUCUAUCAUGUUUCUUUCUGGCUAUUUGUUAAAAAUUGUCUCUCCACACCUUUAGCUUUUUGAGCUUUAGUUUGCCGAGAGAGCCUAGUUAUGGAGGCAUCGCUCCUUUUUCCAUGUUUUUGCCUCUAAAAAUCUCUCGCCACAACUAGAUGCCUAUCAAAGGUUUGGACAUUUGGUAUUUCCUUUCCGACCAGUAUCGCAUUAUGAACUGAAAAAGUGAUCGAAAAUUUUUUCCCCUGUGGGUAAGUGUGUGUUAGCUCUAUAAUCUUGUUUAGAAUUUAAGUUGUUUUGUGAUGUUAUUUCCCAUUCGGAUGAAAGGGGAAAACGGUUUUGAAUUGAGUUUUUUCUUUUUUCUUUUUCCUUUUUUUUUGUUACUAUGUUCUUGUUACUUAAAAUACUCUAUUGUUGCCGAUGGUUAUAACCUGCAUGUUCUGAUAAUUUUGCAUGAUGCGUAUGAAGGGAAUGGUUCAAUUUCUUGAUAUGACCUGAUGUGACGAAAUAUUUGCAUAUGUUUCUGGAAUUUGCUUAUUAGUUGUUUAGAAAAAAUUCAAAAUGAUAGAAUAGCGAGGUGUUCUUUUUUUUUUGUUUGUUCGUGUUGGGCUUAAUUGGGAUGCAUUGGCUGUGAUGAGAAUCCAUACAGCUUCAAAAACGCCAGUUCUGCUUCAGAAAAUUCAUGAUAGAAGAAGCUGAUAAAUAAAUCUGAGCCUCUGUACAUUCUGGAGUUGUCUCUUUUUUUGUUUUCUAGUUGUUUAUCUAUAAUCAUUGAUCUUUUCUUCUUCCCUCCUUUUAAGUAACCUUGGCAAUCUUUUAAAAGUGGCAUUGUAUUUUUGAGCUGCAUAUGAUGAUAUUUCCAAGUUUAUGGGGUGUACAUAGCUCGAAGUCCUAAACAAGGAGAACGUAAUUGGAGCUGCGAAUACUCAAAUGAUGUCAAUGGACUUAUUUAAGGUUUUAUUUCCUUUUUGAUCAUGAUGUUACAUUGAUGUGCAUGUAAUAUAGUAAUUAACAAUUACAUUCUGGCUACAUCUAAACUCUUAUAUCUUUUUAUGCAUUGAAUGCGUGCUUUUUCCCAAAAAAUAAAAGAGAAAUUUUGAAGAAAUUUCAGCUGCCAAUGAUGAUAUUAGAAUUACCUUUUUUUUUUGUUUUUUCUUUCAAGGUUGUUUCAUUAACAUUGCUUGUAGUACAGAAAUACAUAUUUGGUAUAUAAAUGUUUGGUUCCUGAAUGAUAAGUUUUUUUUGUGAAACACAACUUGUGGCCUUUCCGAUGUAAGAAUUGGAUUUUGACAAUGCCAGUGAUGAUUUAUCUGCAAAAUGGAUGUGUUGUGGAACCAAGACCCUGCUUGCAGGGAGAACCUACUUGGGGAAGCGGCAGCUCACAUGACACGAUAAGAUACUUCUGAAGCAUCAGAGAUUUGUAUAAUCAGUCUUUCAAUUUUAUUUGAUUUUGCUUUCACUGUUUUCAAAAAAAAAAAAUGUUACACAGAAAACGAUUUGGAGCUCUUACAUUUUUAGGGAGUUAGGUAAAAGCCAACUUAACCUGAACUGAAUCUCCAACCCAGCUUUUAGGUUUUAGGGUGAAGUGGCAUGGUCUGCAUGUAAUGGAUGUAAUUUCAAUCAGAUAAUUAAAUAAAAUAUUAUUGAAAAAUUGAAUUUAUUGUCUGCAGUCUGAAGCUUUGUAUUAUCAUUAUUAUGAUAUUACAUCAGCCAAUUCAUUUGAACCCACAUGUACCUGAGUUUAACUAUCCUCUUGCUACAGAAUGCAUUGUUGGCAGGUAGGAACUGACAAACUCAGAAAUUAAGUGUUGUCAUCAGCUUCGUCUCUUAUCAUAUGACAGUGGAGUUAAAUAACAGCACAACAUUUUAAUAUUUUUACAUGUUCUUGUAUGCCAUGUGUUGUUUUGUAGUCAUCUUUCCUCUUCAUUCUGUGGUUUGCUGAAUUACUCUUCCAUUAUUUAUGAGUAUUUAUGAGUUCUGGGAAAUUUAGAAUGUUUUGCAAGUAACAUUUUAAGAUUAAUUAAUAGCUCUCAUCAUUUCAACCGUUUACAACAUUAUAACUGAAAUAUUUUGGUUAGGAUGAAAUGAAUGUAACAUGGAGUUAUUGUUAAACAUGACACAUACAGUCCUAUCCUGAUCAGCUAAGAUGGUUGCAAUAAAUAUGAGAAUUGUAUGUAUGCAUCUUAUCAUGUUUGCUUGCAAGUAAAAGCUUAAGGGUACCUGUUUCACAGCAUUCUAUCUUUUAUAGAUAGUAAACUUUUUAGAUUUUGAGCUCUAUAUCCCCAAAUAGUUGGUACCAUGCUGUUCAUUAUAUAUAAUUAAUUUACAGUAGUUAGUGGGGUCUCAAUUGUUUGAUAUUGCUUUAUUAAACUACCCUGAUCGAUAAGGUUUUAAAACAGGAGAACUUGAUAAUUAAGUUUUUUGCUUCUUGAAUUACAAGGAUUAUCAAUUAUUGUUGCUUAUAUUUUGCUUUUAACUAAUCAUGGGAGAAGUUUGUUGUAUUUGCUUUAGUUAAUGAUCAGAGAUUCUAUAUUGUUCCAAUGUCUAAAUAAAUUACUUUUUCUGAAGUUAUAGUUAGAACUAAGAUCUUAGCACUUCAAGCGUUUUUAUUCUUUAUAUUCUUUUGUUGAGCUCAUUGAAAUAUGUGAACCUAACUGUUUCAUUGUACUCUUUAUGUUCUUAUUCUCUUUGAUCUUAAAUUUUGCCUUCAAGAUCUCAUUCUCUUUGAUGCUCUAUCUCUUUUUCUCUUUCUCCCUCCAUACAUGCAAAAUGUUUUCGUCUUGGCCCUUCGGGUAUGAGGAGUUUAUCCCUUCUUUUCCCUUUUGAUUUCAGGUUUUUGUUUUCUCAAAAUAUUAUGGUAGAUUUUAUUAUGGUUGUUGGGUUAGCUACAUGUGCCAAGGUCAGGGUUUUCGGUUGCCGUGGUCUUGAAGUAUUCGAUUGUAGCUAUAUUAACAAAGAAAAGAGGGAAAAAAACUGGUCGGGUUGCCCUUACCAUGGGCAACCCGCUUACCGAGCUUCCCACAGUAAGUUGUUCUUAAGAAAUUUCUAUUAUUUAUAAAUUUUUUGUGAGAGGGGAAGAAGAAUGAGAUGGUGUACUUGUUAGCCAUUUUUUGAGGACCUUCUCGCAUAGCAAGAGCUAUCGAUUUGCUUUGAUUUUAAUAUUUUUAUUAGUCUUUUAAAGUGAUGAUACCUUGGUCAUCAUCCAGGCAAGCUGCUUUGCAUGAGAAAUUGCAGAUUGCGUCAUCUGAUGCCUACACCUCAGUAUUCUUUUCUUUCUUUGUUAUUGUGCUAUUUUUCUAUAAUUCACAGUAUUUUUUUAAUCAAAUAUAUCGACUCUUAUCUUUUUUUUAUUAAUUUCUGGUAAAGGAUGUUUCCCAACAUCUCACCCAAAGAAUAAUCAAUAUUAUCUUCAGUAACCAUUCGAUUUACCCUCGAAUAGGAAGAGCUUUGUAUUAAAAAUGUUUUUACCAUCACUAUCAUGAGAAGAGUAGCAACACGCUGCCCUGCUAUUUUGGGUUACGCGUUCCGUCUCAGAAUUGUUACCGCACAGAAGUCUUAUAUCACCAAUAUUUUGUAGGUGAUGUAUCAUGGCUUGUAUUUGGAACCACAAUGUCUGUUUAUAUUGGUUUAUAUUAAUACUUUAGAAGGAAUGAAAAACAGAUUAUGACAA